rnacentral:rRNA from 1 species
CCUGGCUCAGGAUGAACGCUAGCUACAGGCUUAACACAUGCAAGUCGAGGGGCAGCGACAUGGAAGCUUGCUUCGAUGGACGUCGACCGGCGCACGGGUGAGUAACGCGUAUCCAACCUGCCUCUGACUAAGGGAUAACCCGGCGAAAGUCGGACUAAUACCGUAUGAGGUUUUCCGCAGACAUCUAAUGAAAACGAAAGAUUUAGCGGUCAGUGAUGGGGAUGCGUCUGAUUAGCUAGUUGGCGGGGUAACGGCCCACCAAGGCAACGAUCAGUAGGGGUUCUGAGAGGAAGGUCCCCCACAUUGGAACUGAGACACGGUCCAAACUCCUACGG